rnacentral:rRNA from 1 species
GAUCAUGGCUCAGGAUGAACGCUGGCGGCGUGCUUAACACAUGCAAGUCGAACGGGAAAUACUUUAUUGAAACUUUGGUGGAUUUAAUUUAUUUCUAGUGGCGGACGGGUGAGUAACGCGUGGGUAACCUGCCUUAUACUGGGGGAUAACAGCCAGAAAUGACUGCUAAUACCGCAUAAGCGCACAGAACCGCAUGGUUCGGUGUGAAAAACUCCGGUGGUAUAAGAUGGACCCGCGUUGGAUUAGCUGGUUGG